UGUGGAAAGGUAGGGUUUUUCCGUGAUUCCGUGGGUUUAUAGGAGACUGGGACAGAGGCAUCCUCUGCUCCGUGUGUGUUCUUGCCCCCAACAUAUUGCGAUGCAGUGAGAAGACCCUCACCAGACACAGCUCCUCAACCUCGGACUUCCAAACCAUGGGCCAAACUAACCUCUAUACUUACAGAAGACCCAAAGUGAGGAGCGAUACACCAGGAAGGAGCACAGUAGCUUACAAUUAAAUCAAAGGCGCAUAGACAGGCACGAGGCCUGACCAUCGACAAAGGUGAGAAAAGAAGUGGACCUGGCUCAGACCUCUUCAGAGGAUCUCACCGGGGUCCCACCAAAGAGCCUUUGGAUGGAAGGCUUAGAGGUCAGUGGCAGCUAGUUAGCCUCAGAGCAGCGGUGACACCCAAGUGAAGAAAGCAGUCUAGAAUGGAAAGAGGGAGAAGGGGCGAAAGAGAUUUUCUUGAAGAAGAGAGGUGAAGGAGGCAGGAUAUCCUGAGAAACAAAACAGAACAAAAAGAUUCUUCUUAGCAACUUGGAUAUUGCUAAAAAUACUUCAAGCAAACACUAGGCUUCUCUGCAACAGCAGUUAGGCUAAUGCAGUCAAAAGGCCAAACUGACUAGAAUCCUUGGUGUGAUUUACAAUGUAAGAAUUUUAAAUGGUACAGCACAUGCUGUGGUAA